rnacentral:misc_RNA from 1 species
UUCCAAUGCCAAGUGAAAAGGAUGCUUUGGCAAUAAAAAAAAUGGAGACUGAAGCGCUGCCUUCUGUCAAAACUGACACUCCUGUGGAUGCAGAGAUCAAACCGGAGCGGCCAGCUCGCAAGCGAAGGUGGAUUAGUAACUAAAAGGGAAUUCAGUGAAUACGUUUUUAGGUGUGCCUCGCUUUUUUCAGUGAGGAAAUUACUGCUUGGCCUGAUUUUUUAUUGCAUCGCCCUGAAGAUCCUGUAAUAUGUGGAUGAUAUAAUAUCUGUAUGCUUCCAGGGAUGGCCAUGUACUUCAGCCAUAGUUAAUCUAUAAAUCUUGUAACCAUAUUCCUGCCAUACUUAGACAUACUUAGAUGUUUUGUAGAUGCUAAUAUAUGUAACAUUGAACUUGUCACCUUAUGGUGGCACAGAAUUGCAUUUUAGUAUCAAUUCCAAUUAUGUUACUCAGAUUGAAGUCUGAGGCGACGCGACCUGUGCUACUGGGUAUGAGAUGAGGUGCUAUCUUUUCGAAUUCAGAUGGUAUUGCGGUUGAAAGAAAUUUUAUGAAGCAACUAUGUGGUGGGGAAGUGGAGCAAGAAUACCAUUUUUCUGUAUCUGUAGAAAACUUCAGCUAGAAAAUGAGCAUUGAAACUAUACAUUAUCUGUAUCAUGUAUGUGGAAUUGUCAUAUUUUUCCCCUAGCCUUCAUGUGGACAAGAGGUUGGAAAGACAUUGGAAGCUCCAUUUGUAUACUAAGGACUAGUUAUAGCAAGUGUUUGAUUGAAAAAGUAAAAUUUUCAGUCGUUACUCUCUUUCAUAAUUGAAUGUUUAGCUCUAUAUGACAGAAC